rnacentral:miRNA from 1 species
UACGUGGGCUUUCUGUACGGCA